CAACAGGGAUUGCCUCAGUAACGGCGAGUGAAGCGGCAACAGCUCAAAUUUGAAAUCUGAUACUUUUAGUGUCCGAGUUGUAAUUUGAAGAGGAUGUUUCGGUUGUGACCGUGGCCUAAGUUCCUUGGAACAGGACGUCGUAGAGGGUGAGAAUCCCGUACACGGCUGACGGUUUACUUCCAUGUGUAACUCCUUCGAAGAGUCGAGUUGUUUGGGAAUGCAGCUCAAAAUGGGUGGUAAAUUUCAUCUAAAGCUAAAUACUGGCGAGAGACCGAUAGCGCACAAGUAGAGUGAUCGAAAGAUGAAAAGCACUUUGAAAAGAGAGUUAAACAGUACGUGAAAUUGUUGAAAGGGAAGCGUUUGCAAUCAGACUUGCUUUCGGUUGAUCAACGUUCCUUCUGGUUCGUGCACUCUGCCGUUCGCAGGCCAGCAUCGGUUAGAGCGGUGGGACAAAGACUCUGAGAAUGUGGCUCUCUUCGGGGAGUGUUAUAGCUCAGUGUGUAAUGCCAUCAGUUCUGACCGAGGUCCGCGCUUUUGCUAGGAUGCUGGCAUAAUGGUUGUAAACGACCCGUCUUGAAACACGGACCAAGGAGUCUAACAUCUAUGCGAGUGUUUGGGUGUCAAACCCAUACGCGUAAUGAAAGUGAACGGAGGUGGGAGUCUUCGGAUGCACCAUCGACCGAUCCUGAUGUUCUCGGAUGGAUUUGAGUAGGAGCAUAGCUGUUGGGACCCGAAAGAUGGUGAACUAUGCCUGAAUAGGGUGAAGCCAAAGGAAACUUUGGUGGAGGCUCGCAGCGGUUCUGACGUGCAAAUCGAUCGUCAAAUUUGGGUAUAGG
rnacentral:rRNA from 1 species